CGUGUAGGCGGUUUCUUAAGUCUGAUGUGAAAGCCCUGGGCUCAACCCAGGAAGUGCAUUGGAUACUGGGAGACUUGAAUACGGGAGAGGGUAGUGGAAUUCCUAGUGUAGGAGUGAAAUCCGUAGAUAUUAGGAGGAACACCGGUGGCGAAGGCGGCUACCUGGACCGAUAUUGACGCUGAGACGCGAAAGCGUGGGGAGCAAACAGGAUUAGAUACCCUGGUAGUCCACGCCGUAAACGAUGAGAGCUAGGUGUUGCGGGUAUUGACCCCUGCAGUGCCGCAGCUAACGCAUUAAGUUCUCCGCCUGGGGAGUACGGUCGCAAGACUAAA
rnacentral:rRNA from 1 species